rnacentral:rRNA from 1 species
GAUGAACGCUAGCGGCAGGCCUAACACAUGCAAGUCGAGGGGCAGCAUAGAAACAGCAAUGUUUUGGUGGCGACCGGCGGACGGGUGCGUAACGCGUAUGCAACCCACCUUUAACAGGGGGAUAACGGAGAGAAAUUUCCACUAAUACCCCAUAACAUCGAUCAAGGCAUCUUGAUUGGUUGAAAACUCCGGUGGUUAAAGAUGGGCAUGCGUUGUAUUAGGUAGUUGGUGAGGUAAUGGCUCACCAAGCCUACGAUACAUAGGGGGACUGAGAGGUUAGCCCCCCACACUGGUACUGAGACACGGACCAGACUCCUACGGGAGGCAGCAGUGAGGAAUAUUGGUCAAUGGGGGCAACCCUGAACCAGCCAUGCCGCGUGCAGGAAGACGGCUCUAUGAGUUGUAAACUGCUUUUAAACAGGGAUAAAGCACAGUAUGUAUACUGUGUUGAAGGUACUGUAAGAAUAAGGAUCGGCUAACUCCGUGCCAGCCGCCGCAGUAA